rnacentral:rRNA from 1 species
GCAUAUCAAUAAGCGGAGGAAAAGAAACCAACAGGGAUUGCCCUAGUAACGGCGAGUGAAGCGGCAACAGCUCAAAUUUGAAAUCUGGCUCUCGGGCCCGAGUUGUAAUUUGUAGAGGAUACUUUUGAUGCGGUGCCUUCCGAGUUCCCUGGAACGGGACGCCAUAGAGGGUGAGAGCCCCGUCUGGUUGGAUGCCAAAUCUCUGUAAAGUUCCUUCGACGAGUCGAGUAGUUUGGGAAUGCUGCUCUAAAUGGGAGGUAUAUGUCUUCUAAAGCUAAAUACCGGCCAGAGACCGAUAGCGCACAAGUAGAGUGAUCGAAAGAUGAAAAGCACUUUGAAAAGAGAGUUAAAAAGUACGUGAAAUUGUUGAAAGGGAAGCGUUUAUGACCAGACUUGGGCUUGGUUAAUCAUCUGGGGUUCUCCCCAGUGCACUUUUCCAGUCCAGGCCAGCAUCAGUUUUCCCCGGGGGAUAAAGACUUCGGGAAUGUGGCUCUCUUCGGGGAGUGUUAUAGCCCGUUGUGUAAUACCCUGGGGGGGACUGAGGUUCGCGCAUCUGCAAGGAUGCUGGCGUAAUGGUCAUCAACGACCCGUCUUGAAACACGGACCAAGGAGUCGUCUUCGUAUGCGAGUGUUCGGGUGUCAAACCCCUACGCGUAAUGAAAGUGAACGCAGGUGAGAGCUUCGGCGCAUCAUCGACCGAUCCUGAUGUUCUCGGAUGGAUUUGAGUAAGAGCAUACGGGGCCGGACCCGAAAGAAGGUGAACUAUGCCUGUAUAGGGUGAAGCCAGAGGAAACUCUGGUGGAGGCUCGCAGCGGUUCUGACGUGCAAAUCGAUCGUCAAAUAUGGGCAUGGGGGCGAAAGACUAAUCGAACCUUCUAGUAGCUGGUUUCCGCC